UUGAACGCUGGCGGCAGGCCUAACACCUGCAAGUCGAGCGGAUGAAGGGAGCUUGCUCCUGGAUUCAGCGGCGGACGGGUGAGUAAUGCCUCGGAAUCUGCCUGGUAGUGGGGGAUAACGUCCGGAAACGGGCGCUAAUACCGCAUACGUCCUGAGGGAGAAAGUGGGGGAUCUUCGGACCUCACGCUAUCAGAUGAGCCUAGGUCGGAUUAGCUAGUUGGUGGGGUAAAGGCCUACCAAGGCGACGAUCCGUAACUGGUCUGAGAGGAUGAUCAGUCACACUGGAACUGAGACACGGUCCAGACUCCUACGGGAGGCAGCAGUGGUGAAUAUUGGACAAUGGGCGAAAGCCUGAUCCAGCCAUGCCGCGUGUGUGAAGAAGGUCUUCGGAUUGUAAAGCACUUUAAGUUGGGAGGAAGGGCAGUAAGUUAAUACCUUGCUGUUUUGACGUUACCAACAGAAUAAGCACCGGCUAACUUCGUG
rnacentral:rRNA from 1 species